GAUGAACGCUGGCGGCGUGCCUAAUACAUGCAAGUCGAACGAGGAACUUUAAUCUUCGGAUGAAAGUUUCCUAGUGGCGAACGGGUGAGUAACGCGUUGGUGACCUGCCCCAAAGUGGGGGAUAACAGUUCGAAAGGACUGCUAAUACCGCAUAAGAUCAAGUGGGAUUAGAUGCCUAUUGAUUAAAGGCGAAAGUCGCUUUGGGAGGGGCCUGCGUCCCAUCAGCUUGUUGGUAGGGUAAUAGCCUACCAAGGCUAAGACGGGUAGGGGACCUGAGAGGGUGGCCCCCCACACUGGCACUGAAACACGGGCCAGACACCUACGGGUGGCAGCAGUAGGGAAUAUUGGACAAUGGGCGAAAGCCUGAUCCAGCAACGCCGCGUGCGCGAUGAAGGCCUUCGGGUUGUAAAGCGCUUUUAGGGGAGAUGAGAAAGGACAGUAUCCUCUGAAUAAGCCUCGGCGAACUACGUG
rnacentral:rRNA from 1 species